UACAGAGGGUGCAAGCGUUAAUCGGAAUUACUGGGCGUAAAGCGUGCGUAGACGGUUAUGUAAGUCGGGUGUGAAAGCCCCGGGCUCAACCUGGGAAUGCCAUUCGAGACUGCAUAGCUAGGGUGCGGAAGAGGGAAGCGGAAUUUCCGGUGUAGCGGUGAAAUGCGUAGAUAUCGGAAGGAACACCAGUGGCGAAGGCAGCCCCCUGGGUCGACACUGACGCUCAGGCACGAAAGCGUGGGGAGCAAACAGG
rnacentral:rRNA from 1 species